CCGUGAAGUGUGGGUUCUAGUGGCCUCACAUUCUAUGUUUGGGAUUCAGCCACUAGUUUGGCUUGUGGUCUUAAUUGUGGUACCAGUUGGAGUCAAACAGAAUAUGAAUGAAUUAUAAUGUGGAUGCGUACUAAAUCAAAUAGCAAUUAGAAGGGAGCAAAAAUCCUAGAUCAUGAAGCAGGUACUUUAAGCUGGAAUAAAACAUAAGGAUUGCAUAACGAGGUCGAGGUGCCCAUUAGAUCACAUUAUCUCUCAUUUGCUGCUAUCAUCCAAUUUAGGUUAUUGGAGACUAUUGUGCUUGGCGACUUGUCUUCAAUUUCAUCUAUAGUACUUGGCGACUAGAGGUGCUGUGCUCCUUGUACCAGUCAUUCUCAUUGUAUAGAAGGAAAGCGAGAAAUCCCCGUGAACCAUUUGUAGUACCCAAAGCAAUGUUUCCAGCUUGACAGUGGAAUUUUUCAUUCUUGGAACUCAUCUCUGUUGCUGUUUUCAGCAGGCUUACCGAGCUAGCGGACGUUGUUUACGAAAGAUAAUCUGUAGUUAACUUACCGAUCCAGAGAGCGUUGCUUGCAGUUGCACAUUGUAGAAACCGAAAAAGGAACAAAAGAAAGUCAGCUUAGCAGCAAUAAAGGCGCAUAGGAACUCGCUCAUGGGAACCCUGAGGAAAUUGGUCGCGAGAAAUGUGACCCUCAGGACCAUGCAAUUAUGGGGUAUCGAGUUAUAUAUCUUCACAGUCCCUUGACCCGUUGCUACGGUAAUUGAAGGCUGCGAUGGAUGAUAAUAGAAUAUAGCUUGAUUAGUGCUUAAAUAAAAAAAUCUGGACUUAUGAGUUUAACUAGUAUAGGCGAGAAGAAUAUACCCCAGCUUUGUAGCCUUUUCUGAGGAAGCAUGGUCGUCCUGUUGUGGCUGGCUUAGCUGGAGAUGGACGGGUACAUUCAGGUCAUCUUCAAUGCUAAAAACAUUUGGAAGAAGUGAUGUUCGAUUGGCUCCACUGGUAUUUCCAUAAACCUGAGACUUUAAACAUUACUUUUUAAGUUGUACUGUAUGCAACUAUGCAAAUCAUACAUUUGGCGUAAUGGUGGAAGUAAUGAACGGCCGAAUGUUUAGGUAUAUUAGGUCUAUUGAGGCUAUAUGGAGUUCAUUAGUAGGCUAAAUCAUUACCUUUUUGUGCAAAUCCAUGUUUCCUUGAUGAA